rnacentral:ncRNA from 1 species
CCUCCAUCCUCCCCGCACAGGAGGGUGGACCGAGGGACCGGGCUCUCUGCCCUGACUGACCGGUUCCUCACCACGGCCGUGGGACCGCACACCCGACGGCCGGAGCAACUCCGGGCUGCGGUGCCGAAUGCGGGUUGAGGGUCCCGCACCGGCGC